GCGCUAUUAUAAUCGUACGCGGUGACGUCAGCGCGCGACGAGUCGUCCAGCAGCAGCAGCAGGCGAGCAAGAUGGUUCCCCCCGUGCAAGUGUCUCCGCUCAUCAAGAUGGCGCGCUACUCUGCGCUGGGACUUGGUAUCGUCUACGGCUCCGCCAGAUUGGCACGGCUGAAGCCCAUCGCGGCAGAGGAGCGGCGGAUAGAGGAGGAGGAGCGGCAGAAGCGAGAGGAGUCGGAACGGAUUGCACGCGAGAUCGCUGCCGCAUCUGACGACACUAUCCUCAAGUGACAACUUGUAGAGCCGGGUGAAAUGCAAAGAAGCGAGAGACGCUCAGUGCACACACGACACAACAAAAUCACACUGCACAGAAUGGACUUGCUACACAAGACGCGAACAACAUGGCACACACAUCUGAAGCAUAAACACAAGAAUACACAGAGUACACAAACAGCAUGCGUAUCCAGCAGGAUUCACACUGGCGAUUCUACAAGCACUCGACAAGACACCCUGAGAAUGCUCCCACUCGAGGUUGGCAUUUGUCUUCUAAAUAUGUCUCCCUCAUUGUGAGCUGUAAGGUUCGUCUGUUUGGACGUCAAUAAAGCGGAGUAAAUGUCA